ACAAUGAAGAGUUUGAUCCUGGCUCAGGAUGAACGCUAGCGGGAGGCUUAACACAUGCAAGUCGAGGGGCAGCGAGGGUAGCAAUAUCUGUCGGCGACCGGCGCACGGGUGAGUAACGCGUAUGCAACCUACCUCUAACAGGGGCAUAGCCCGGGGAAACUCGGAUUAAUACCCCAUAAAAUUCAGAAUUCGCAUGUUUUUUGAAUUAAAGUCACAACGGUUAGAGAUGGGCAUGCGUCCCAUUAGCUAGUUGGUAAGGUAACGGCUUACCAAGGCUACGAUGGGUAGGGGGUCUGAGAGGAUGAUCCCCCACACUGGUACUGAGACACGGACCAGACUCCUACGGGAGGCAGCAGUGAGGAAUAUUGGUCAAUGGGCGCAAGCCUGAACCAGCCAUCCCGCGUGCAGGAUGACAGCCUUAUGGGUUGUAAACUGCUUUUGUACAAGAAGAAACCCCUAUACGUGUAUAGGGUUGACUGUACUGUAAGAAUAAGCAUCGGCUAACUCCGUGCCAGCAGCCGCGGUAAUACGGAGGAUGCAAGCGUUAUCCGGAUUUAUUGGGUUUAAAGGGUGCGUAGGCGGAAAACUAAGUCAGCGGUGAAAUCUUGCGGCUUAACCGUAAAAUUGCCAUUGAUACUGGUUUUCUUGAAUGUAGUUGAGGUAGGCGGAAUGUGUAGUGUAGCGGUGAAAUGCUUAGAUAUUACACAGAACACCGAUUGCGAAGGCAGCUUACUAAACUAUGAUUGACGCUGAGGCACGAAAGCGUGGGGAUCGAACAGGAUUAGAUACCCUGGUAGUCCACGCCGUAAACGAUGAUUACUCGUUGUGAGCGAUACACAGUUCGCGACUGAGCGAAAGCAUUAAGUAAUCCACCUGGGGAGUACGAUCGCAAGAUUGAAACUCAAAGGAAUUGACGGGGGCCCGCACAAGCGGAGGAACAUGUGGUUUAAUUCGAUGAUACGCGAGGAACCUUACCUGGGCUUAAAUGCAGGACGACGUUCGCCGAAAGGUGAAUUUCUUCGGACGGACUGCAAGGUGCUGCAUGGUUGUCGUCAGCUCGUGCCGUGAGGUGUCGGGUUAAGUCCCAUAACGAGCGCAACCCUUAUCGUUAGUUGCCAGCGGGUAAUGCCGGGGACUCUAACGAAACU
rfam:Bacteroidetes bacterium RIFOXYA12_FTLL_38_20 rifixya3_full_scaffold_8626, whole genome shotgun sequence.